rnacentral:rRNA from 1 species
CAUUACAGAGUUCAUGCCCUCCGGGUAGAUCUCCCACCUUCUGUUAUCAUUACUCUCGUUGCUUUGGCGGGCCGCCGGGCCCUGCCCGGCCGCCGGCUCCGGCUGGCGCGUGCCCGCCAGAGGCUCCACAGACUCUGAAUGUUAGUGUCGUCCGAGUAACUAUAUAAUCGUUAAAACUUUCAACAACGGAUCUCUUGGUUCUGGCAUCGAUGAAGAACGCAGCGAAAUGCGAUAAGUAAUGCGAAUUGCAGAAUUCAGUGAGUCAUCGAAUCUUUGAACGCACAUUGCGCCCUGUGGUAUUCCGCAGGGCAUGCCUGUUCGAGCGUCAUUUCAACCCUCAAGCCCGGCUUGGUGUUGGGCCCUGCCCGUGGCGGCUGGCCCUAAAGACAGUGGCGGUGCCGCCUGGCCCUCAGCGUAGUACAACUCUCGCUCCAGGGUCCGGUGGUGGCCUGUCAGAACCCCCAACUCUGUGGUUGACCUCGGAUCAGGUAGGGAUACCCGCUGAACUUAA